GGACUCUGAAGAAGAAAUCUUAUUUCAUUCUCAAGAGUAAGAUUUUGACUUUCCCAGCCUACAUAACUGUAGUAGAGAUUUAAGACUCUUAAUUGAGAAAGUCCAGAUAUAGCCUCGCGUGGAAUUGUCCUAAGAUAAUGAGUGCGCUUCAAAUCCAGAUACCUCAGAUUUGUCAAACUUCCCAUCUCUUUUGGCAAUGUGCUCAAUUUAGUCCCGGAUAGAUCAAGAUAACGCAACUCACACAAAUAAGAGAUGCUUUUUGGAAUCUCUCUGAUGCUGGUAUAUGAUAAAUCAAGAACCUUAAGAACAGGCAUGUAUUGAAAAAAUCCCCCUGAAAUUUUACUCAGGCUACUAUUCCAUUGGAAAAGCAAGGUUGAUAAGUGUUGGCAAACAGGUACUUCAGAUAGUUCGGUAAUUUCAUUGUCCAUCAAUGAAAUUCUAUGUGCUCUUUCCCACUUUUCGACAGAAGGUGCUUCAGUAAGUCCUGCACUAUCGUCGUCUCCAUUACCCCUAUUCUGAUAAAUUCAGACAUUACAGUUGUAACUACCUAAUCAAAUUAGUCUACUGAAUAUUGAUAUAGCGUAUCGAGACACACACAGUGAAAUUUACCUCUCAAGUAGAAGUCUCAGGAAUCCAAUAAAAGCCAAUAACAAAGAGCAAAGCCCUGGUAAAAACAUGGCACUCUUAACCACAACAGUCUGUCUCCACCCACCCAUAUGCGCAUAAUCUUCUUGCUCAUCGUCACCACUCGGCUUCAAGAACAUGGUACAAACUCUACAUAUUAAGUAAUAAACCACCAAAAUACUCAAAGAAAGCACCACCCUGAGUGGCGAAAGUGUAAUAUUAGCAAACCCAAGCAAGACUUUCUCCACUGCAACAAAAAGAUUACACACUGUUAAAAAAAAUAUAUGAAUACCUAGACCACCAACUUAAAACUACAGUUGCUAAAAACAUAAUAAUCAUAAAACCAAUAACUUCGGAAGCUAAUAUUCUAUCUUAUCCAACAUGUAUACAUGUAAUUAGACAAUUUAUCGGACAUGUAAUGCCAAUGGGCAACCAAAAAUAUAUGUAUCUUACCUCCCACAGAAGAUCCAGAACCCUGCCUUUAUAAACACCGUACUGAAGCAGGAAUAUCAGAAGACCAAACUCUCAAUUUAUGGCUAAAACUCUUGUACAAACACCUAGCGUUUCAAUAUUUCCUCGAACCCUUGAGUUUUCAUAAUACUGUUAUUUUUAAAAUGAUUAAGUAGCAAACGCGUAGAAAAUCAGAGAAGGAAAAUAAGAGACGGAGAAGCAGUGAUAGAGUAUAUAUUUAUAUAUAUUUUAGAUGAUAAUUAUUCUCAUAUUAGUUAUAUUUUGCAUUUAAUUGGACAUAUAUUAAUUAUAUUUUAAUAUCUAAUUGUAGGGAGCAAAGAAUUCUAAAUUGUAGAGGAUUUGGAGCAAAUUAGAAGAAAAUUCGCAACUAUUGGGCUACCCGCAUUCGGAAUAUUGUUUGGGCCAUAUCUUGAGUUCUAGAAGUCGGAUUUGGGCGAGAAAACAGCCCACGCGAAGAUAAUUUAAUUUUCUAUCAUUCUAGAUGGGUCCAGAUAUCAAAAGUCCGCUGAAAUAGCCCAGGAACAGGGGAGAAAGUCAACUGCGAAUUUUGACCUUUUGGAAACCCAUUCAGUUUCGGAAUUGCCUUGUAUAUUCCUAUUAGAAUAAAAACACUUUUGUAUUAGGUAUUAUUAGAUAGAGAAUUACAUACGUGCUAUUGAGGAGAGCCACGGAGAAGAAGAAAGAGGAUCGACAUUUUGUAUCGUAUUCUAUUCUUUUUAUGAUUCUUACGUGUUUUACUAUGACUAUGAUUGGCUAAACCUCUAUUUUUGGAGGGCUGUUUUGAAGCCCUAAACUUUAUGACAAUGAUAUUUUGAUUUUCCGAGAUAUGUUCUUGAUUGCGCUUAUAUAUACGUCAAUGCUUAUAGAUAUUCUUGAAUUAACUGUGGUAUGUGGAUAUCCAAUUCAGUUAUGUGAUUGAUUUAUCUGUAAAGUCGAUUAAUCUUUCUAUGUGGUCCAUGGGAUUAAUUGUAUUAGUGUGUAAUCUGUUUUAGCCUUUCUAUGUGGUCCAUGGGGUUAUGCGGAUAGCAGAGCUUGUUUCUAUGUGGGCCAUGGCAAGUUCUCUAUAAGUGUCUUUCAGAACAUAUCAUAAGAGUUUCAGAGUAUGUCAUGGGUUUAGUGGUGGAUUAAUAUGCUUUCCAACAUGCUUCUUUAAUUGUUAAAAACACAUUUGCUUUAGUUUCAUAAUUAGUUUAAUUAAUAGAUAAAACAAAAUCCAAUCGUUAUUUCUUUGCAAAAUAUAAGUUAAGUGAGCCCUUGAUUCCUGGCGUUGAACGAUACCCUUACUUAUUCUAUAUUAUUAUCGGCAGAAAAAGGGUUUAAAUUGAGUCACAUCAAUUUUUGGCGCCGCGCCGCCGGGGAUUGAAAUUCACUUUGCUUUUGUUUUGUAUUAAUUUUUGUCGUUGUGGUUUAAACGGUUUGUGUUUUCAGGUACAUGGUCAAAACCCGUACAUCUGAAGAACCUCUUGAACCGUUUGAAGAUAAUCCUGAGAAGCUCUUUCGUAAGAAGAGCGAAACCAAAAAAGAUCAAUUAGACAAGAAAAGUGGAGGGAAGCUCAUUGUAGUCGAUAUGGCUAUAGUACCUACACUUCGUGAUGAUGUUGCUGUCUCGGUGGCUAAUAUUGGCCAUUCAUGUAUGGUCUAUCCCAAUCCUGCUGUGGGGGAAUCAGAUACUGCGGCCUCUUUCUCUGAUCUUAUAAAGAGAAACUUGGCAAUCAUCAAGUUUGUUCCAUGUGCAGGGUCCUAAAAGCGGAUGAAUGGACCCAACAUGGCAGCAUUCCUCUGUAUCUCAUACGGGUUUAGUUGAUCAAAAUGAUCAAGGAAUUCUUGCAGAAAUUCUAUCCGGCAACUCGAGUCAUGAACAUGAGAAGCCAAAUAGCUGGAAUUCAUCAAAAUGCCACUGAAACUUAUGCUGAAUAUUAUGCAAGAUUCCAAAAGCUGCAAAAGAGAUGCCCACAACAUGGAUUUUCUAAGGGGAGUCUUCUUCAUUUUUUCUAUCAAGGUCUUCAUGAAGGUGAAAAGAAACUCUUGAAUUCAGCUGCUGGUGGUGCUUAUGUAGAUUUAUCUCAUGAUGCUGCAGAGAAACUAAUUGCUAAGGGAGCUGCAAAUGAACUUCAAUAUGGUAGUCGUGCAAGUUCUGGCAUAACUCAGGGAGCUCAAUCUGAUCAAAGGCUCUCAAAUAUUGAGCAAAGUAUCGAAAAACUGAAUGCAUUACUAUUGAGCGCUAAAACACCGACACCUCAAGUAUGUGGUAUUUGUUCAACUCCGGGACAUUUUACUGAUGGUUAUCCUACAUUGGUUGAACCUACUUUUGAAGAUGUUAAUGUUGUUGGCUUUGGCAAUCAAGGAGCAAACCAAUUCUCUAAUACUUUCAAUCCAAGAUGGAAGGAUCACCCCAAUUUGAGGUACGGGAACACUAACAAUGCUUUAAAUGGGUUUCAGUUUCAAAACAAUUCUGCACCAUCUGGUUUUCUACAAAGGGGUCAAGUCUCCCAAAGCACAAACAAUGAUAACACUAUUGAGAAAUUAUUGUCCAUGUAGGUUGAUGGGCAAACGGAAAUGCAAAAACAAUGCACUACAAAUUCUCAAGAUAUUAGAGAGAUGCUGAAGCAACUUGGGGAUGUGAUAAAGAAAAUUAAUCAAGAACAUGAGCCUGGACGGUUGCCUGGAACUACACAACCAAAUCUGAAAUUCGAGCAUGCUAACAUCAUUACUACUAAGAGUGGCCGGAAUGUCAUUCCCACUCAAAAGGUAUUGGAAAAUCAGGUUGAUAAGCAUGGUAUCGAAAAAGACCCAGCAACUGAAAGAACUUCACACAACAAAUUGGUUGAAGAAAGUAAGAAUUCUCAAGCCAAGGAGGAUAGUCAUGAGAAUGAGGAUGGAGCUGAGAUUGUGCACAACAAUUCUGAGGAGAAACAUACUUCUCCAAUUUCUGCUAGUAAGUGUCUUAAACCUUCAAAUUCGGUUAUUACUAAUAGUCGCUUCGAUUCUGUCCCUUUCCCAGCUAGGUUGGUUCAGACAAAGAAGAGUGCAUUAGAGACAAAUAUUUUGGAGACUUUUCGCAAGGUUCACAUUAAUUUGCCUUUACUGGAGUGCAUUCAGAAUCUUCCAGCAUAUGCCAAGGUAUUGAAGGACUUGUGUACUAAACGAAGGAGGCUCAAGGGGAGUGAAGUUGUUGAGAUGAAGGAGAAUGUGUCUGCGGUUCUACAAGGAAGGUUACCAAGAAAGUGUAAGGAUCCAGGAAGCUUCACUAUUCCUUGCACCAUUGGUAAAUCUAAAUUUGAGAAUGCGUUACUUGAUUUGGGUGCGUCAAUUAAUGUUAUGCCAUCUAGCUUGUAUGAGAAAUUGUGUAUUAAAACUGAACGUGUAUUAAAACUGAACUUAAAAUAGAUGGUGUUACAAUUUUAUUAGCUGACAGAUCUCACGUUUACCCGAAAGGUGUUUUGGAGGAUGUUCUUGUGCAGGUUGGCAGGUUUCAAUAUCCGGCUGAUUUUUAUAUCUUAGACAUGGGAGAUGCGAAUAAUGCACAACUUAUUCUUGGUAGACCAUUUAUGUGUACAGCUCAAACAAGAAUUGAUGUUGCAAGAGGAGAGCUCAGUAUGGACUUUGAUAAUGAAACCAUCAAGUUCAACAUGUUUGAGAUGAUGCGAUAUCCCGUAGAUACUGAGACAUGCUUUACAAUGAGUACAACUGGUAGCAUUGCUCAAAAGUACUUCGAGCUGAUGAAGGAUGAUGUAUUGGAAACAGUGAUUUCUCAAGGCAUCGGUGUUAAUCAGGAAGGAAAUUCUCCAGCUCUUGAAGAGAUUUCUAUCACUCAUAUAGAUGAAAUUCUAGAGCAAUGUAAUGCCUUGCAAGGAGCAGAGAUUACAGGAGAACGGAAGUUUGUACUCCCUAAAACUUCUAGUGAAAAGCAGUUGCCUUCAGUUGUUCAAGCACCACAAUUGGAUCUUACGCCAUUGCCUGCCCAUCUCAAGUAUGUUUUUCUUGGGAAAGACGAGACACUACCAAUCAUUAUCUCAUCAAAGCUCACAUCUGUGCAAGAAGAAAAAGUGGUGGAGUUGGUCUGUAGUCAUAUUAAAGCUAUUGGUUGGAGUUUGGCGGAUAUUAGGGGAAUCAGCCCCACACUAUGUGUUCAUAGAAUUCACUUGGAAGAAGGUGCCAAACCUGUGAGAGUUCCUCAACGACGACUCAAUCCUCCUAUGAUGGAGGUUGUGAAGAAGGAAGUCAUUAAGCUGCUAGACAAUGGGAUCAUCUAUCCUAUUUCUGAUUCUAUGUGGGUUUCUGCUGUUCAUGUUGUUCCUAAGAAGUCUGGUAUUACAGUGGUAGCAAAUGAGGAGAAUGAGUUGGUGCCUCAACGUACAGUGACUGGUCAUUGUGUUUGUAUUGACUACAGGCCUCUCAACAAUGCUACAAAGAAAGAUCAUUUUCCCCUGCCGUUCAUUGAUCAAAUGUUGGAAAGGUUAGCCGGUCAUGAGUAUUAUUGUUUCUUAGAUGGGUACUCUGGAUAUAAUCAAAUUGCUAUAGCUCCAGAAGAUCAAGAGAAGACAACAUUCACAUGCCCCUUUGGUACCUUUUCUUUUAGACGCUUGUCUUUUGGUCAGUGUAAUGCCCCUGGAACGUUUCAAAGAUGUAUGAUGAGUAUAUUCUCUGAUUAUGUGGGAAAAAUCAUUGAGGUUUUCAUGGAUGAUUUCAGUGUCUUUGGAGAUAGUUUUGAUGAUUGCUUGAAGAAUUUGGGGGUUGUUUUGAAAAGAUGUGAAGAAACAAAUUUAGUGCUCAACUGGGAAAAAUGUCACGUCAUGGUAACCCAUGGGAUUGUUCUUGGACAUGUGAUUUCUUCAAAAGGUAUUGAGGUCGAUAAAUCUAAAAUUGACUUGAUACGGUACUUGCCCACUCCGUCAAGUGUAAAGGAGAUUCGGUCUUUUCUUGGCCAUGCUGGUUUUUACAGAAGAUUUAUUCAGGACUUCUCUAAAAUAGCAAGGCCCUUAACUAAUCUUCUUCAAAAGGAUGUACUUUUCGAGUUCAAUGAUGAGUGCAAGGUGGCAUUUGAGGAGUUAAAACUAAAUCUUACGUCAUCUCCUAUCAUACAGGCACCUGAUUGGGGCUUACCUUUUGAAAUAAUGUGUGAUGCCUCAGAUUAUGCUGUUGGAGCUGUACUUGGGCAACGUAAGGACAAGAAGGUGCAUGCUAUUUAUUAUGCUUCUAGAACUUUGAAUGAUGCACAACUCAACUAUGCUACCACUGAGAAAGAAUUGCUGGCUGUCGUCUUUGCUUUGGAAAAAUUUCGAUCAUACUUGCUUGGUACAAAGGUGAUUGUAUUUACAGACCAUGCAGCUCUUAAGUACUUGUUGGCCAAGAAGGAGGCAAAGCCACGACUUAUCCGUUGGAUCUUAUUACUACAAGAGUUUGACAUUGAAAUCAAGGAUAAGAAGGGAUCCGAGAAUGUUGUAGCUGAUCAUCUAAGUCGAUUGGUGAGGGAGGAAGAAGAUGUGCCCCUGACCGAGGCGUUUCCAGAUGAACAACUUCUCCAGAUUGAGGUAAGUGCUCUUAAUGAGGUCACACCAUGGUAUGCAGACAUAGUGAACUAUCUGUUUGACAAAAGUCUUCCUAGUACAUUGACUCGUGCACAAAAAGAUAAGAUUAAACAUGAUUCAAAAUUUUAUGUGUGGGAUGAUCCAUAUCUUUGGAAACAUUGUCCGGAUUUAAUAAUAAGGAGAUGUGUGCCUGAUAAUGAAUUCAAAUCUGUGUUGAAAUUUUGUCAUAAUUAUGCAUGUGGAGGACAUUUUGGAGGAAAAAGAACUGCACAUAAGGUGUUAGAGUGUGGUUUUUAUUGGCCUACAAUGUUUAAAGAUGCUCAAGAAUUUUGUAGGACUUGCGACAGAUGUCAACGAGUAGGGAACAUUACUGCUAGGAAUGAGAUGCCCAUGAAUCCGAUGUUUAAUGUUGAAAUAUUUGAUGUUUGGGGUAUCGAUUUCAUGGGUCCAUUUCCGAAGUCUAAUGGUUUUGAAUAUAUACUUUUAGCUGUUGAUUAUGUGUCGAAGUGGGUGGAAGCUAAAGCCACCCGCACUAAUGAUUCGAAAGUGGUUUCAGAUUUCUUGAGGACUAACAUUUUUGCUAGGUUCGGGAUGCCAAGAGUGGUUAUCAGUGAUGGAGGGUCCCAUUUCUGCAAUAGGACCAUCGAGGCACUAUUUCGCAAGUAUAACAUCUCACAUAAAGUUUCUACACCUUAUCAUCCUCAAACCAAUGGACAAGCAGAGGUGUCUAACAGAGAAAUCAAGAAAAUUCUUGAAAAGACUAUAGGAUCUACACGGAAGGAUUGGAGUCAACAGUUAGAUGAUGCACUUUGGGCUUAUAGGACGGCGUACAAGACACCCAUCGGUAUGUCUCCUUAUCGCAUUGUUUAUGGUAAGCCUUGUCAUUUGCCAGUGGAACUUGAACAUAAGGCAUAUUGGGCUAUUAAGAAAUUCAACAUGAGUCUUGAUGAGGCGGGUUUGCAUCGCAAGUUGCAAUUGUCUGAAUUGGAAGAACUACGCAAUGAAGCUUAUGAGAGUGCUCGUAUUUACAAGGAAAAGACAAAAGUGUUCCAUGACAAGAUGAUUCACAGGAAGAAUUUUGAGGUUGGACAGAAAGUUCUUUUGUAUUAUUCCCGAUUACGUCUUUUUCCUGGAAAACUACGAUCAAGGUGGAUUGGUCCAUUUGAAAUUGUUGAGGUGUUUCCACACGGAGCUGUGAGUAUUAAAAAAGAUGAUGGAAAUGUGUUUAAGGUGAAUGGACAUCGUCUUAAACCGUAUUUGGAGGAUCCUUCUAAUUAUAUCAAGGAGAGUGAGACUCUUAAUGAUGUGAUUAUCUCUGGUGCUUAAGAUCCGUGACAUCAUGUCUAGCCAAAGACGUUAAAGAAAAGCGCUUCUUGGGAGGCAACCCAAGCAUAUUGUACGGUUAGUUAUAAUUCUAUUAUAAUUAUUAUAGUUCUUAGUAGUAAAAUUAUUAGUAUUAUAUUUAUAGAUUUUUAUAGAUUUGAAAUUUUUAUUCCCGCAAGGUGCCUUGAUAAUUUUUGUGAAGUGUUUCAGGAUUUGUUUUUAGUGAUGGCAUGGUGUGGAAAUUAUUCAGAAAAGAAAAAAAGAGAAAAAUUUGAUGGCAGAUACAGAAGCUUGAAACCGCCGUUUACAUUCAGGAGAACGGGCGUUUUCAGCUUCUGCCUAACUCUUCUAUUUCACCCUUCUCGCGCAUCAAUUUUUCAGUCCAGCGCUUGCAAAUUCCUUAGGAAUUGGGCCUGUUUCAGUCCAGCCCACUCGAUCCAACUGUCCGGCCCAACUACUGGCCCAUAAGUCCAGAAUCCAGCCCGGUCCAACUGCUUUUUGCUCCUUUCUUUUGAAGCGCGUUCACGUGAAUUCUAAUGUUACUGGAAGGGUUUGAACCCUUGACCUCAAGCCUGCAAAACAAGCUGAUGACCACUCGGCCAACUAUGUCACUUGAAACAUAUGUCACUGCACUUCAUUAUGAUUAUUCAGGGCAGUUUUCUUAACUCUUCCUUAGAUAUUAAUUAAUAUAUUAUAUUAUAUUAUAUUAUAUUAUAUAUUAUUCAUCGAGGACAAUGAACCAUCCAAGUGUGGGGAGGUGUUCUCACGAAUAAUUAAAUAUAUGUAUUUAUAUAUAUAUAUAUAUAUAUAUAUUUAUAAAAUCCAAAAAAAUUAAAAAUUUUGUAUAUAAUUAUCUUGUCUCAAAGCAUGUUUAGUGAGUACUUAUACACAUAUUGUAGACUAAUGUGCAUGAUUAAUUCUGAGCAUCAUAUUCAUGAUAAAAAUCAUUCAAUGCAUGAUAAUUCUUUGUGUGUGCUUGCGAAAAUUUUAAAACUUGAGAUGCAUCUUAGUCAAUUUCUAUGAGUAAAGCAUGCUUUCACCUGGUGAGAUUUUGAGCCUAAUUUAUGAUUGAUACAAUUUUUAUCAAUUUAACUUUUUUGUGAGUGGUGUUCGUCAUUUGGCUUGUUGCUCUAGGAUUUGGUUUAAACCUUAUAGAGAUGAAAUGUUAUGUGUAUGCAUGAAAAUGAUAAAGGCACUAGGAUUAACCGCAUAUGUCCAAACAGUACCCGAGAAUUAUAUCCUUAGUGAACCCCCUUGAGCUUGUAUCCAUUUUUUUUUUGUUUAUCACCAAUCUAUGAAUUUUGAGCCUACUUGUUUAUUCUUGUCUUGAUGACUAGUAGAGCAUUUUUUGAUUCAUUCGAGCAGUGGUUAACAUUCAAGUGUGGGGAUUUCUUUGUCAAAGGGUGAAAGUUUGGUGGGAAUCAGGGAAAAAAAAAGAGAUAUGAAAAAAAAAACAAAGUAUCAGGUACUCCUUUGAGAUCAAUGGGUGGCAAUUGCAAUGUCAUAUGAAAGGGACGAGCCAUGUGCACGUGCUGGUAUUAAGCACAAUUGUACUAGAAAUUAAGGGGAACUUAAUUCCUCUUAUUUUUCUUGGUGACUUUUCACUGCUCUUGGUUACUGGAGAAAAACUUGACUUUGAAAAGAAAAAAAAUGAAAGGGAAAAAAUAGCAAGUGGAGAAUGUGUUCAUUAGUGGUACAAUGUGAAAUGGGAAGUACAUAAUUAUGUGCUUGGGCUUUAAUGCUUGUGAAAGCUUGAUCACCUUUUACAUGAUUCAAAUUUCAUGUUGAGUGCUUAAUCAGAAGUGAACACUAUGCUCUAUUAGUUAUCGAGUUAGCCAUUUGUUAGCUUAUUUCUUUGAUAUCCUACCCCAUGCCUAAGCCUCGUUACAACCCUUAACAAAGUCCUUUUGAUUUGUGCGUGCAUAUAUACAGAGUAGUGUAGAUUUGGUGGACAACCAAGUUUAUGGUAGUGCAGGUCCAUAUUGAUUGAAUUUGAGUGAAGCACUUACACCCAAACACUUGUGUGAAUUAAGAGUAAUGUGAGAUUUUCUACCCAUAGCAUGCUUGCUUAUUGGAUGCGACUUUGAUGUCUAUUUCAUGAUAUUUUUGUCUAUCUAGACACUGUGUGCAUACUUGGAUUGUUGUGUAUAAAUGGUACAUAAGUGAUAGUACUUGUACUUUCACACAUGUUCAGAUUGUUAUGUAAGUGAGGUUUGCAUAUGUGGAGUACUAUGAUGAUUUCUUUGCUUGAGACUUGGUGAUUAAAAAUAUUUGAUUUUGUGGGAUAUCUUCUAUAAACCCUCACGAGACAACACUCGUCCUACUAGGGCUGCCUAGGGGUUUAACGGCUUGUUGCAUACGCUCAAUGCAAUCGUGUCAUCUACGAAAGUGAUGCUAGUAGUUAGCUAGUAAUAUUGUUAUUUUAUGUUGCCCGAGGACGUGCAAUAUGCUAAGUGUGGGGAUAUUUGAUAGAGUAUAUAUUUAUAUAUAUAUUAGAUGAUAAUUAUUCUCAUAUUAGUUAUAUUUUGCAUUUAAUUGGACAUAUAUUAAUUAUAUUUUAAUAUCUUAUUAUAGGGAGCAAGGAAUUCUAAAUUGGAGAGGAUUUGGAGCAAAUUAGAAGAAAAUUCGCAACUAUUGGGCUACCCGCAUUCGGAAUAUUUUUUGGGCCAUAUCUUGAGUUCUAGAAGUCGGAUUUGGGCGAGAAAACAGCACACGCGAAGAUAAUUUAAUUUUCUAUCAUUCUAGAUGGGUCCAGAUAUCAAAAGUCCGCUGAAAUAGCCCAGGAACAGGGGAGAAAGUCAACUGCGAAUUUUGACCUUUUGGAAACCCAUUCAGUUUCGGAAUUGCCUUGUAUAUUCCUAUUAGAAUAAAAACACUUUUGUAUUAGGUAUUAUUAGAUAGAGAAUUACAUACGUGCUAUUGAGGAGAGCCACGGAGAAUAAGAAAGAGGAUCGACAUUUUGUAUCGUAUUCUAUUCUUUUUAUGAUUCUUACGUGUUUUACUAUGACUAUGAUUGGCUAAACCUCUAUUGUUGGAGGGCUGUUUUGAAGCCCUAAACUUUAUGAUAAUGAUAUUUUGAUUUUCCGAGAUAUGUUCUUGAUUGCGCUUAUAUAUACGUCAAUGCUUAUAGAUAUUCUUGAAUUAACUGUGGUAUGUGGACAUCCAAUUCAGUUAUGUGAUUGAUUUAUCUGUAAAGUCAAUUAAUCUUUCUAUGUGGUCCAUGGGAUUAAUUGUAUCAGUGUGUAAUCUGUUUUAGCCUUUCUAUGUGGUCCAUGGGGUUAUGCGGAUAACAGAGCUUGUUUCUAUGUGGGCCAUGACAAGUUCUCUAUAAGUGUCUUUCUGAACAUAUCAUAAGAGUUUCAGAGUAUGUCCUGGGUUUAGUGGUGGAUCUUUAUGCUUUCCAACAUGGUUCUUUAAUUGUUAAAAACACAUUUGCUUUAGUUUAAUAAUUAGUUCAGUUAAUAGAUAAAACAAAAUCCAAUCGUUAUUUCUUUGCAAAAUAUAAGUUAAGUGAGCCCUUGAUUCCUGGCGUUGAACGAUACCCUUACUUAUUCUAUAUUAUUAUCGGCAGAAAAAGGGUUUAAAUUGAGUCACAUCAAGCAGCCACGUGAAACUCAUAAGAUCCUCUUUAUAUAAGUAUAUGGAUAUAAUGGAUAUAGAUAUAGUCAAUCUCGUGAUGUUAACUAUAUUUGUUGAAGCUUUACAAACGUGUAAGAAAUCUCUAAUAAAAUUUCACUGCAAUAAUGACUCUUAUAUUAACAAAUAGGGUAUUUGCCGAAAUUAUGUAGCAAAAAUAAGUAGAACAGAGUAUUCAUCUAUACUUUAAUUUUUGCCUAUCAAUUUGUCUGACCAGUUGGUAUAAAAUGUGGUAGGAAAGCAGACUGAGCACCGACUUCAUCCCACUCCAAUUCAUCCCACCAAGCCUUCUCACCAUACAAUGUAAAUGUCUGUGGUGCUGAAACCUCAGGAGACUUUAGUGGCAACUUCUUUAGCCUCGGACAUUCAAUCACAGCGAUUUUUUGUAAUGAAGGGAAAUCCAUCUUCCAUCUUGAGAUACUAGUUAAGCAUGGUAGAUCUCUCAUAGAUAGCGUUCGAAGUGACAGAAAUGUGUUGGCAACUCCCCCGGCCUCCACAUCAUCUACAUUUAUAACUUCUUCCAUUCCUUUGCAGUAAAACAAGUACAACAUUUCGAGCUUUGGGAGAUUUAUGACCCAUGAAACGUUCUUCAACUUGUUGCAAUACCAGAUGGUAAUGGAACGAAGAUUUUGAAGUGCUCCGGGUGUCACUGCUUUUUCCCACACUUUGAUCAAGCUGGGAAGAUUGUUUAGUGCAAAAGCCUCUAAUCUAGGCAACCAGUUGUUUUCAGCCUUGCUGCCAAUGGCCAGGUACUGUAAAUCAGAGCAAUCGUUGAUGCUAAGCCUUCUCAACCUCUUGCCAUCACCGGGGUUUAAUGAGAGAUGUAACUUAUACAAGCGUUCACAUGAUGUUAUGUACAAAAAUUGGAUGCAAUUUUUAAAAACAAAGAGUUCCUCCAGGGCCUCUACUUCAGUUACAGUGAUCCCUAGAGCGGCAAGAUGCCUCAGCUUUUCCAAAUCCACAAAUCUUAUUUCAUUCUCGAUAGUAAGAUCUUGAAUUUCCCAGCCUACAUAACUGUAGUAGAGAUUUAAGACUCUUAAUUGAGAAAGUCCAGAUAUAGCCUCGCGGGGAAUUGUUCUGAGAUAAUGAGUGCGCUUCAAAUCCAGAUACCUCAGAUUUUUCAAACUUCCCAUCUCUUUUGGCAAUGUGCUCAAUUUAGUCCCGGAUAGAUCAAGAUAACGCAACUCACACAAAUAAGAGAUGCUUUUUGGAAUCUCUCUGAUGCUGGUAUAUGAUAAAUCAAGAACCUUAAGAACAGGCAUGUAUUGAAAAAAUCCCCCUGAAAUUUUACUCAGACUCCUGUUCCAUUGGAGCAGCAAGGUUGAUAAGUGUUGGCAAACAGGUACUUCGGAUAGUUCGGUAAUUUCAUUGUCCAUCAAUGAAAUUCUAUGUGCUCUUUCCCACUUUUCAACAGAAGGUGCUUCAGUAAGUCCUGCACUAGGCUGAACUAAGAACUUCAUAUCGUCAUCUCCAUUA
rnacentral:lncRNA from 1 species